rnacentral:rRNA from 1 species
GUGAACGCUGGCGGUAGGCCUAACACAUGCAAGUCGAACGGCAGCACAGUAAGAGCUUGCUCUUACGGGUGGCGAGUGGCGGACGGGUGAGGAAUACAUCGGAAUCUACUUUUUCGUGGGGGAUAACGUAGGGAAACUUACGCUAAUACCGCAUACGACCUACGGGUGAAAGCAGGGGAUCUUCGGACCUUGCGCGAUUGAAUGAGCCGAUGUCGGAUUAGCUAGUUGGCGGGGUAAAGGCCCACCAAGGCGACGAUCCGUAGCUGGUCUGAGAGGAUGAUCAGCCACACUGGAACUGAGACACGGUCCAGACUCCUACGGGAGGCAGCAGUGGGGAAUAUUGGACAAUGGGCGCAAGCCUGAUCCAGCCAUACCGCGUGGGUGAAGAAGGCCUUCGGGUUGUAAAGCCCUUUUGUUGGGAAAGAAAAGCAGCAGGUUAAAACCCCGCUGUUCUGACGGUACCCAAAGAAUAAGCACCGGCUAACUUCGUG